CGUAUCUGUGGUUAUGUGAGAACUUCAAGGAAAAGACCUGAUUUAUGGUCUGAUGGCUUUUCCUGCAGUUCAUUCUUGCUGCUGCUUCCUCAAUACAUAAUCUCAUCUUGGCAUCUGCCUCUUGGAGGAUCUGGACGAACACAGAUGGUUUGGACAUGUGCUACCAAGGAACAUCCCGAUGUUUAUCAUAUUUGAGUAGAAUUUCCUACUGAGGAAGGAAUACGGUGACCGAUUAACUAAGAAAAUGAACCCAAGGCCUCCUGCACACCAGUCAGGAGCUCUGUUGCCAACCUGCCCUUCAAUCCCACAACUCUAACUUUAAAGGUGGCUCUGGAGGAGUGCGUCUUUUUUAGCG
rnacentral:lncRNA from 1 species